UCAUGUCAGUGAGCUACUUGUGUCUGCACAGCAGGAGUCUGAUGAUUGUGUUUGGGACUCUGAGGUUGCUGCCGUCCUGUUGCUUAUUCAUCUGUUACCUCCAACAUCCAAGGGUAGGAAAGUUUAAAAAAUCAGCACAUCUGAUGCUGCUGACCAGCUGGUGAAGUUUAUUAAGGUGGGGCGAAGCAUGGAUGCCUUCCUCAGAGAAACCGGACCUGUUCAGCCAUUUCUUCUGUGUGUUGGAGAAAGAAAGACCAGCAUUCAAAAUUUCUACAUUGUCCUGGACCAAAAGGUCAUUCCCUGUUCAACGCAGACCGGAGUUGGUGCCUUUGAUGAGCUGUUCAAGGCCCAUUUUGC